CACAGCGGAGUGGAUGACGUCACCAGCCACCUCCGCGUCAGCUGAUGGAGGAAUGUAAACAGCAGCAACAACAGCGCAGUGAAACUCUCGGGGCAGGUAGUGAGGACGUAAUCCAGCAGCUCACAGCUCAAUGUCCGGGCUACAGAAACGCUCCUUCACGGUAACAUGUCCGGGAUUACACCAUCGUUAAUUCUCAUACAGAGCAUCCCCCCCCCCCUUCUUCUUACGCUCAGAGUAGCGUCCCUGUCCGCCCGAACGCUCGUGAUGCCGGGGAGAGCGGUGUUGUUGUCCGGGAUAUGCGAGUGCACGGCUCCGUAAAACACGAGGCUGCUCUCACGUCCUCCACAGCUCUGUGGCGCCACCAGCUGGUGAACACAUAAAACACAGCCUGAUAAAUAACAGCAGUGAGGAGAAGCUGCUCAAACACCUGAGAAUUAAAGCCGCGCGAGCUGCAGCAACACCCUGUCUCCACGGCAACGGCGUAUGAUGACACCCCAUAAUGGUUCUUAGAUAUUGUGAGGUCUGCAGUUAUCAACAUGUGAAGUUUUGGGUAAAACAUCCCAUAAUAUUCUGUUUUAUAGCCGGGCUACACUGAGACCAGGUUAAUGAUGCGACCAAUCAGAGCCCCUGAAUCACCUUCAUUAAAUAUCAUCAGACAUUCACCUGGUGAGGGAGGCUGUGGCUCAGUGGGAGGGUGCGCUGGUCUUCGGAUCAGGGGAGCACUGGUUCAAUCCCCCCUGCAGUCAGCAUGUCGUUGUGUCUCUGGGCGAGACACACCCCCUCCUGAGGGUGUUGUCCUCAGUAAUGAGAGCAUGUAAACCAAUAUCCCUAUGUUGUGUGUAUCCUGUGUGUUCCCUGUUGACCUCUGGUCUUUGACCCUGAUGGGAAUGAUGGGAGUGAUGGGAACGAGGACGCAGCGUCUGAGGUUUGAUCCGUUUUUAUUGAAAACAGCGACACAAGACGAGAAUAAAAAAAUAAAAUGAA